GAUGAACGCUAGCGGCAGGCCUAAUACAUGCAAGUCAAGGGGAUAGCAAUAUCACCGGCGGACGGGUGCGUAACGCGUACACAACGUGCCCAAGGGCGGAGGAAAGCGGCGGGAAACUGCCGGUAAUACUCCAUGGUGUUGUUGAGUGGCAUCACUUAACAACUAAAGUACAAGCGCCCUUGGAUCGGUGUGCGUUCGAUUAGCUAGUUGGCGGGGUAACGGCCCACCAAGGCUUCGAUCGAUAGGGGGUGUGAGAGCAUGACCCCCCACACGGGUACUGAGACACGGACCCGACUCCUACGGGAGGCAGCAGUAAGGAAUAUUGGACAAUGGGCGGAAGCCUGAUCCAGCCAUGCCGCGUGAAGGACGAAGGCGCUCAGCGUUGUAAACUUCUUUUGGAUGGGAACAAUAACUCCGACUUGUCGGAACUUGAGGGUACCAUCAGAAUAAGCACCGGCUAACUCCGUGCCAGCAGCCGCGGU
rnacentral:rRNA from 1 species